AGCGCAGGCGGGGAGACAAGUUGGAAGUGAAAUCCAUGGGCUCAACCCAUGAACUGCUUUCAAAACUGUUUUUCUUGAGUAGUGCAGAGGUAGGCGGAAUUCCCGGUGUAGCGGUGGAAUGCGUAGAUAUCGGGAGGAACGCCAGUGGCGAAGGCGGCCUACUGGGCACCAACUGACGCUGAGGCUCGAAAGUGUGGGUAGCAAACA
rnacentral:rRNA from 1 species